AUUGGAGUGCACCCUAGAUAGGGGCUCACGAGUGUCAUUCAGGAUCCUACUGCUGCUUUAGCAGAGUUCUUAUUCCUUCCUUGGUUCGUUCGUUCGCUCAUUCGUUCCUUCAUUCUCACAGUCCUCCCAGCCUCACAGAGCACUAUGGAAGGAAGAAGAGGCGGGGCCUGGCAGCGGACCUGAGAGAGAGGGAGGCGGGGACAGAAGCUAGCUCGCCUCACGAGACGGGCACGCGCCCGUAGUGGUGCGUGCCAUGACGUCAGCGCGCUCCGUGGCGCGGAAAGGGGGCGGAGCCCAGCUCGCCGAGCCUGCUGGUGCUUGAGGGUCUCCGGUAGCCGGGUCUCCGAGCGGAGAGCCCUGGGUCCAGCAGGAACGGAGUACAUCAGAGCAGAAGAGUCCCCGGGAGCGUGGUAGGUCUACUCGAAUUCCGACUAGGCAUCAUCACGACGCUCCCUCUUCGCUUCCUCUAUCCAGAGGCUCCUCCUCCCUCCAUCCCCGGCCAUGGAAUUCCCGGACCUGGGAGCUCACUGCUCCGAGCCGACCUGUCAGCGACUGGAUUUCCUGCCACUCAAGUGUGAUGCCUGCUCUGGCAUAUUCUGUGCAGACCAUGUGGCCUAUGAUCAGCAUCAUUGUGGCUCUGCCUAUCAAAAGGAUGUACAGGUGCCUGUAUGCCCGCUGUGUAACGUACCAGUGCCUGUGGCGAGAGGAGAAUCUCCUGACCGAGCUGUGGGGGAACAUAUUGACAGAGACUGUCGAUCUGACCCAGCACAACGCAAACGCAAGAUUUUUACCAAUAAGUGUAGCCGCCCUGGCUGCCGGCAACGGGAAAUGAUGGAGCUGACCUGUGAACGAUGUGGCCGAAACUUCUGUCUCAAGCACAGGCACCCACUAGACCACGAGUGCCCUGGGAACCGAUUGCCUUCCAGCCAGUCUGGACAUGCUGCUAUCUCCAGAGCCCAGGGCUUAGGUUCUAGCCCAGCCCCAGUCCCUGGCCAAGGGUUGGGUAGAACCUCACCCCCCUCUGAAAGCAGAGUUGCUGAGUCACCAACUCAUGCCUUGCAGAAUGGCCUGAGUGAAGAUGAAGCCCUACAGCAAGCACUGAUCCUGUCCCUGACUGAGACCAAGUCCAGUGCCCCGAGUUCUCAAGAGGAGGAAGACUUAGCUCUGGCCCAAGCAUUGUCAGCCAGUGAGGAGGAGUAUCGCAAACAGCAGGCCCAGAGUCGAAGCUUGAAACCCUCCAACUGCAGCCUUUGCUAGGGCCCUGAGAGCAGGGAGGGUGACUCAGCUUAGAGGGGCUGUGGCCCUCACACUUCCAGGGUCCCUUGGAAGAGGCCAAAAGCUCAAAACAAGAGUGAUGGUGGGAAUCCAGAGCUGGAUUAAGGAAGGACACACCAGGAGUGCCUCUGAGUUCAAGGUGGCAGGAACCCCUACUCGAUGUACCCAUGUCUGAAGGGGUGCCACAUGUCAGCAUAUACCCCUCCCCGGGCCAGCAGUGCCUCAUGCCUAGGAUGGGAAGGAAAAGAAGAAAGGUCAGGGUUGACCAGGCCUUGGAUCAUUUUGUCCCAUAGAUCUUUCUCUAUUUCUGAAUCCCCAAGAAUGAUACUGAGAGGGAAAUUCCACAGUGAAUGUGCUAGUUGGUUCAGCUGAUCACCAUCUUUCCUCUCUAUUUUAAAUUGUCAAAAGGGAAGGCUUGAUGGGGAGGGGAAGUUUAAGUGUGCAGAACAAGCAUAUCAAUAAAAAUAAGAUCUUUACCUUC